rnacentral:sRNA from 1 species
GGCAUCAUCCCGGAUAUGGUCAGUGACAACAUGUUGUCCUGCCUGGAGAGCUGGGGCUUCCUAAUCGAUGGCUUUCCCCGGGAGCUGAAGCAGGCCAUGGAGUUUGAGUGCAUCGUGGGCCGGGCCGCCAGUGUCAUCAUUGUUUGACUGCUCCAUGGAGACGAUGCUCCGAGUGCUGCACUGGGGCCAGGUGGAGCACCCGGCAGACGACUCGGAUCUGGCCAUCUGCCAGCGCUUGGACAUGCACUACACCUUGUGUGAGCCGGUCUUGACCUACCAGCAGAAUAACCUGCUCCGAAAUAUACCGGCAGAGGAAGCACCAGAGAACAUCUCUGCCAAGUGCUGCUCUGUCAUUGAGAGUCUGCAGUGA